GGAGCUAGAGGCCCAAAGGGGUCAAAGGGUGACCGUGGAGACAAAGGAGACUCUGGAACCCUGGGACCAAGGGGUCCACCUGGUCAAAAGGGGGAUCAAGGAGCCACAGAGAUCAUAGACUAUAAUGGCAACCUCCAUGAAGCCUUGCAG